GUCCUGACUUCCUUUGGUGAUGAACAGCAACAUGGAAGUAGAGUAACUCAGCCAAGGGCUCGUGAUAUUCCUGUGGCUUCUUGCUGCUUCCGAGGACUUGGACUGAUUGACUGGUGGAACCCCAUGGCUUCUUCCAAACCAAACUGCCAUUGCUGAUUCAUGACUGGUGAUUGCCGAAUGGACUGGGCUGCUGCUGCUGCUUCGUGUUGGUGUUUGCUACAGGACUGGACUGCUGACAACGGAUAUUGGAAUAGCCCCCAAAACUACUGCUAAACAGGUCCACAAUCCCUGUUCCCUAUUAACCUUUCUCUUCCAUUACCUCUGGUGGGUGGUGGGCUAGAAGGGAGGCUGAAGCAUUUAAGAACCUUAUUAAAAUAGGUUUUUGAGAAGUCUAAGCCAAUAAUAUUUAUUGUUACAUCCAUAGAUUUGUGUGGCUGUCAUCAGCCUUGCUCGGGGGAGCUUCUUUUUGCAGUGGGUAAUACAGAGGUGCAGGACCCACUGGUCAGAAUGCUGAGGAAAAGUGACUGUGCACUGUCCUAAGUAGGACAUAGCAAUGUAUUACAAGUGUGUAAGGGCAGUGGGUGGGGAGGAGCACUGUGAAAUGGCAUCAUUUGGACAACAUGGCCACUGUACACAUGAAUUCACGAUGUUUGUGGUUACUUACACAAGGUCAAAGCUCCAGCAUGGGUGGGGUCAAGAGGCUCACGAUGUGCCCCUGCCAGAGGAGCCACUGGCAGUUGAUGCCAGCUAAUAAAGAGAAAGCUGUUUCCUA